GACGAACGCUGGCGGCGUGCUUAACACAUGCAAGUCGAGCGGUAAGGCCCUUUCGGGGGUACACGAGCGGCGAACGGGUGAGUAACACGUGGGUGACCUGCCCUCAGCUCUGGGAUAAGCCCGGGAAACUGGGUCUAAUACUGGAUAUGACUCCACGGUGCAUGCCGUGGGGUGGAAAGCCUUGUGCGGCUGAGGAUGGGCCCGCGGCCUAUCAGCUUGUUGGUGGGGUGAUGGCCUACCAAGGCGACGACGGGUAGCCGGCCUGAGAGGGCGACCGGCCACACUGGGACUGAGACACGGCCCAGACUCCUACGGGAGGCAGCAGUGGGGAAUCUUGCGCAAUGGGCGAAAGCCUGACGCAGCGACGCCGCGUGAGGGA
rnacentral:rRNA from 1 species